AAAGAGAGAGGGAGGAGGAAACACGGAGAGAGUGGCAGAGAGGAAGAGAAGGAGGAAGGGAAGCAGAACCGAGAAGCGAGGCUGACAGAAGAAGAAAAAGGGGGGGGGGGGGGUUGAUUUCUGUGAAGGCUAGGCAGAAAGUAUAACCGAAUCGUCCAACGGAAGGUAAGAUCAAUUUGAUCUUUGAAACCCGAAUAUGAAAUGUGUGCGUUUAAAUUCAUGCAUUAUGAAAAUUAUGAUUAAAUUUUAAUUCUAUGAUAGAAUAAUGUAUGUGAACAUUCUUUGAAUAUUGAAGUUCUUUUAAGACGGAAUGAUGGAAUUAAGAGAAUGGGUGUUGUAAAAUCAUUGAGAGACACGAUAGAUCUUAGGUGAUCGGGUAUUGUUGCAGAAGGGUAAACCGAUAUGAAUUAAAGGGCUAAUGGGGUUUCAGUAAGAAGAAAUAUGUUGCUCUCCUAAAUGAGCUAAACAGAUCCGCGAAACCGAGUGUAGGGAAAAAGGGACUAGUUGAAUUUCGGAUAGAACUGUGGAAGGAUUUUCAGGAGAUAAUACCUGAUUGGUUGAACACUCUAUUGAGUGGAUGUUAGGAGUACAAGAUUUCAAGAAAUGCAGAUAUGCGAGAUGGGAGUGAGAUACUUGUUAUAUAAAACUCAAAUUUUGAGGCUAGGGGAGAAUAUACCGGAGGAGAUGGUGAGCUGAUGUAGAAUAUGAUAAUGUCGUCGUGGGGAGGAACGGUGUAGAAGUUUUGAGUUGUAGCUAUACCAACGGUACAACAGUAUGUGAAUUGGAAGUAAAAAUGUGAGAAGGGAACAGAAGAAUAAGAACAAAAGUAAGUUUGGUGUGAGUGCAGGGAAAAUGAGAGAGAAUGACAAGAGAUGGAACAAAGGGAAAAAGGUGUGACAGGAGCAGGGAAAUGAGUUGGUAAGAUUGAGAAGGGAGUUGUUUACAACCCGAGAGAGGUAGUGAAAUUAGGAAAAUGAAACAAGGAGCAGAUUCUGCACUUGAACGGCUGCUGGUAAAAGCAUGAAUGGGAGAGGGAACAGCAUAGUCGGAAACCAUAGAAUGUGCGAGUGUGUGGCCAGGUUUGGCCGAGAGGCACUCUGUUGGGGUAUAUGUACAUAUAUAGAGAAAUAUUUUGCUAAUGGUGGGUAAAAACUAAUAUAAUCUUCACUAAGCAUUAUCUUCCAAACAUUAAACACUUCUAUUUUAAGUAAGAUAUAUGAAUUAGUUGAAGCAUGCAUAUAUGCUUUGCAAUAAAUGAUCUAAAUAAUGGGUUGUAUAUAUAAUUUUUUUUACUCGUAAUACCUGGGUGUUGCGUAUUUUAUAUACAUAUACAUAUAUAUAUAUAUAUAUGUAUGUAUGUACUCAGGAAUAGGAAUUGCUGGAUAGCCUACAAUGAAGAAUUGAUUACUACAAGAAGAAUGGAAAGUGUGAAGCAGCAUGUAAUAAAGAACCUUUCUUACACCCAACCACCGUCUUCCUCAUCAGUCUAAAAUAAUUUUGACUUUUUAGUAAAAAUUUAUACUUAACGUAUAUGUAAAUAUAUAUAUAUAUAUAUAUAUGCACUCCAUGUUGGAACAUUAUCUUAAUUUGUAGAGGAAGAAAACACACAGCAGAGCUGAAAUAUAAGCUCCCCUUGAAUGUAUUUUCUUGAGGAACCAAGAGUGUGGCUGUUUGGGUUGGGCAAGAUCUUUUCCCAGCAUUGCUAAAAAGCCAGGGUGUCGUCGGUGACACCAUCGCCAACUGCCUCAAAUGAUUUCACAUAAAAAAAAAAAUUCCUCCAUGGCCUGGUAAGAAGGAGAUUGAGAAGAAGCCAUUUCAAUUCCAAAACAAAAUCAAUGGUGAUGAUGAAGAAGGAACAUAACCCGUAAAGAACUGAGGUUUUUACUUAAUUUUUAAAGAACAGCACAGGAGAAGAUGAAUGUUGAAAUGGGUUUUAGUUGAUAUAUGUGUCUACAUAUAUUUACAUUCUUUCAGAUCAUCCAUAUAUAUAUAUUCUCUCUUUUAC
rnacentral:lncRNA from 1 species